GCACAACGCGAAGAACCUUACCUAGGCUUGACAUGCAUCUCUAAGCACGUGAAAGCGUGUGACCCUUCGGGGAAUUUGCACAGGUGCUGCAUGGCCGUCGUCAGCUCGUGCCGUGAGAUGUUGGGUUAAGUCCCGCAACGAGCGCAACCCUUGUGACUAGUUGCCAGCACGUUAUGGUGGGAACUCUAGUCAGACUGCCCAGAUCAACUGGGAGGAAGGUGGGGACGAUGUCAGGUCAGUAUGGCCCUUACGCCUAGGGCUGCACACGUACUACAAUGCCCAGCACAAUGAGAACCGAGACCGCGAGGUGGAGGAAAUCACCAAAACUGGGCUCAGUUCAGAUUGAAGUCUGCAAUUCGACUUCAUGAAGCUGGAAUCGCUAGUAAUCGCGGAUCAGCAUGCCGC
rnacentral:rRNA from 1 species